UUCCCAGCAUUCUGGGUGGGAAUGCAUUUGCCCAGAUGACAAAGUGUGGAGCUGGAUGAACACAGCAGGCCAAGAAGCAUUUUAGGAGCACAAGAGCUAAUAUUUCAGACCCACACGAGUUAUCUCGGAUUCACCAGCAUCUGCAGUCCCCAUUAUCUCUGAAUGUAUACGCCCACUGGUGCGCGCGCAAUCUGAAGCGUUUCAAACAUGCGCAGUACCGGAGGCAAAGGAGAGCCGGAGGAAUCGGAUGAGGAACAGGCGCGAUGAGGAUUUGAAAGGUGAAAAUUAGAAAUCAAGAAGUUGGAGCAUUUGCAGUCAGUGAACUCAAAUCUCGCUGCAGAUUCUAACGAAAUGUUGAAUUCAUCAUGUCUUGAAUAUCAUCAGGCUUUGAUCAUGGAAGCCAAAACCAGUGUUCGCACUGAGAAACCAUGGAAAUGUGAGGACUGUGAGAAGGAAUUCAAAUAUCCAUCUUCCCUGGAAAGUCAUCAGUGUGGUCACACUGGAGAGAGACCGUUCACCAGCCCUGACUGUGGAAAGGGAUUCAUUUGAUCAUCCAGUCUGCUGACACACCAGCAAGUUCAUAUAAGAGAGAGGCAGUUCAUCUCCUCUGAGUGUGCGAAAGGAUUCACUCACUCAUCCCAUCUGCUGACUCACCGGCACGUUCACACUGGGGAGAGACCUUUAAAAUAUCCACACUCUAGGAAUUGCGAGAAAAGUUCGAGAGAACUAAUAUCUCACAUUAGUGAGAAACCAUUCAGGUGCUCUCACUGUGCGACUCGGCUCAAGCGAUCAUCUAAACUCCCAAUACACCAGCACAUUCACACUGGGGAGAGACCGUUCAUCUAUUCCAUAUGUAGGAAGUGUUUCAUUCACUCAUCUGACCUGGUGAAACACCAGAAAGUUCAUUCUAAUGAGAGACCUUUUUCAAUGUUCAGACUGCAGGAAAUGCUGUAAAUGUUCUGGAGAACUGAUGUCCCAUCAACAUGUUCACACUGUUGAGAGCCCAAUAAGAUACUCUCAUGAUGGGACUGGGUACAGAUGAAUAUGUAACCUCGCUGUACACCAAUGCAUCCACACAGGGGAGAUACCGUUCACUUGCUUCAUGUGCAGGAAGAGAUUCGUCAGAUCAUUGUACCUGCUGAAACACGAGCAAGUUAAUUCUGACCAGAGAAUGUGGGAAAUGGUAUAAAGAUUCUGAACAAUUAGCCUCCAUUAACUUGCUCACAUUAUUGAAAUAACUUUGAAUGUUCAGAUUGCAGAAAAUGCUUUAAAAGUCCUCAACAAUUGAUGAUCCAUCAAUGUGUUGACACAGGUGAGAGACCGUUCCAGUGCUUUCACUUUCAAACUGGGUUCAGGUGAUCAUUUCACCUCAUUGUAUGCCAGUGAUGUCAGACUGGAGGGAGGUCGUUCGCCUGCAUUGAAUGUGGGAAGGGAUUCACUCAAACACCCGACAACCCCCCCCCCCCCCCCCCCAAAAA